CCCAGCCAGCUCACCAUGGAUGAUGAUAUUGCUGCGCUCGUUGUUGACAACGGCUCUGGCAUGUGCAAGGCCGGCUUCGCGGGUGACCAUGUCCCCUGGGCCAUCUUCCCUUCCAUCGUGGGGUGCACCAGGCACCAGGUCAUGAUGGUGGGCAUGGGUCAGAAGGACUCCUAUGUGGGCAACGAGGCCCAGAGCAAGAGAGGCAUCCUGACCCUGAAGUACCCCAUCGAGCAUGGCAUCAUCACCAACGGGGACGACAUGGAGAAGAUACGGCACCACAUCUUCUACAACAAGCUGCAUGUGGCUCCCGAGGAGCACCCUGUGCUGCUGACCGAGGCCCCCCUGAACCCCAAAGCCAACUGUGAGAAGAUGACCCAGAUCAUGUUUGAGACCUUCAACACCCCAGCCAUGUAUGUGGCCAUCCAGGCCAUGCUGUCCCUGUACGCCUCCGUCCGUACCGCCCAUGUACAAGGGGUAUGCCCUCCCCCACGCCAUCCUGCCUCUGGACCUGGCUGGCCAGGACCUGACUGACUACCUCAUGGAGAUCCUCACUGAGCACGGCUACAGCUUCACACCACGGCCGAGCGGGAAAUCGUGCGUGACAUCAAGAAGCUGUGCUACGUCGCCCUGGACUUCGAGCGGGAGAUGGCCAUGGUGGCCUCCAGCUCCUCCCUGGAGAAGAGCUACAAGCUGCUCGAUGGCCAGGUCAUCACCAUUGGCAACGAGCGGUUCCACUGCCCCGAGGCGCUCUUCCAGCCUUCCUUCCUGGGCAUGGAAUCCUGUGGCAUCCACAAAACUACCUUCAACUACAUCAUGAAGUGUGACGUGGACAUCUGCAAAGACCUGUACACCAACACAGUGCUGUCUGGCGGCACCACCAUGUACCCUGGCAUCACCAACAGGAUGCAGAAGAAGAUCACCGCCCUAGCACCCAGCAUGAUGAAGAUCAAGAUCAUUGCUCCUCCCGAGCGCAAGUACUCCGUGUGGAUCAGCGGCUCCAUCCUGGCCUCGCUGUCUACCUUCCAGCAGAUGUGGAUCAGCAAGCAGAAGUAUGACCAGUCCGGCCCCUCCAUCGUCCACGAAUGCUUCUAGGUGGACUGUGACUUAGUUGCAUUACACACUUUCUUGACAAAACCUAAUGCACAGAAAACAAGAUAAGAUUGGCAUGGCUUUAUUUUUGUUGUUGUUUUGUUUUGUUUUGGGCUUUUUUUUGGCUUGACUCAGGAUUUAAAAACUGGAACAGUGAAGGUGACCGCAGUUGGUUGGAGCGAGCAUCCCCCAAAGUUCUACAAUGUGGCCGAGGACUUUGACUGUACAUUGCUCUUUUUUUAAUAGUCAUUCCAAAUAUCGUGAGAUGCAUUGUUACAGGAAGCCCCUUGCACUCCUAAAAGCCACCCCACUUCUCUCUAAGGAGAAUGGCCCGGUCCUUUCCCUAGUCCACACAGGGGAGAUCAUAGCAUUGCUUUCAUGUAAAUUAUGUAAUGCAAAAUUUUUUAAAUCUUCGCCUUAAUUUUUUUAAAUUUUGUUUUAUUUUGAAUGAUCAGCCUUCAUGCCCCGUCUUUUUUGUCCCCUAACUUGAGAUGUAUGAAGGCUUUUGGUCUCCCUGGGAGUGGGUGGAGGCAGCCAGGGCUUACCUGUACACUGACUUGAGACCAAGUUAAAUAAAAGUGCAUACCUUAA